AUGGCUCAGGAUGAACGCUGGCGGCGUGCUUAACACAUGCAAGUCGAACGAAGCUAAGGGAGCUUGCUCCCAAAGCUAGUGGCGGACGGGUGAGUAACGCGUGGGUAACCUGCCCUAUAGAGGGGGAUAACGUUCGGAAACGAACGCUAAUACCGCAUAAACCAUAAGGAGCUGCAUGGCUCUGAUGGCAAAGAUUUAUCGCUAUAGGAUGGACCUGCGUUGGAUUAGCUAGUUGGUGAGAUAACAGCUCACCAAGGCGACGAUCCCAUAGCCGGCCUGAGAGGGUGAACGGCCACAUUGGGACUGAGACACGGCCCAAACUCCUACGGGAGGCAGCAGUGGGGAAUAUUGCACAAUGGGCGCAAGCCUGAUGCAGCGACGCCGCGUGAAGGAAGAAGGUCUUCGGAUUGUAAACUUCUAUCAGCAGGGAAGAAUAAAUGACGGUACCUGACUAAGAAGCCCCGGCUAACUACGUGCCAGCCGCAGC
rnacentral:rRNA from 1 species